rnacentral:rRNA from 1 species
CCAGAGGUCACUGCUAUCGGGGUUCGAUUAAGCCAUGCGAGUCGAGAGGGUUCGGCCCUCGGCGUACUGCUCAGUAACACGUGGAUAACCUGACCUGAGGAAGGGGAUACCCCCGGGAAACUGGGGAUAAUACCCUAUAGGUUACCGAUGCUGGAAUGCUCGGUAACUCAAAGUUCCGGCGCCUCAGGAUGGAUCUGCGGCCGAUUAGGUUGUUGUUGGGGUAAUGGCCCAACAAGCCGAUAAUCGGUACGGGUUGUGGGAGCAAGAGCCCGGAGUUGGAUUCUGAGACACGAAUCCAGGCCCUACGGGGCGCAGCAGGCGCGAAAACUUUACAAUGCGGGCAACCGUGAUAAGGGAACCUCGAGUGCCUGUAUAUGCAGGCUGUCCAGGUGUCUAAAACACACCUGAAGAAAGGGCCGGGCAAGACCGGUGCCAGCCGCCGCGGUAAUACCGGCGGCUCGAGUGGUGGCCACUUUUAUUGGGCUUAAAGCGUUCGUAGCUGGGUUGUUAAGUCUCUUGGGAAAUCCGGCGGCUCAACCGUCGGGCGUCUAAGAGAUACUGGCGAUCUUGGAACCGGGAGAGGUGAGGGGUACUUCGGGGGUAGGAGUGAAAUCCUGUAAUCCUCGAGGGACCACCUGUGGCGAAGGCGCCUCACCAGAACGGCUUCGACAGUGAGGGACGAAAGCUGGGGGAGCAAACCGGAUUAGAUACCCGGGUAGUCCCAGCCGUAAACGAUGUGCGUUAGGUGUAUCGAUGACCACGAGUCAUCGAGGUGCCGAAGGGAAACCGUGAAACGUACCGCCUGGGAAGUACGGUCGCAAGGCUGAAACUUAAAGGAAUUGGCGGGGGAGCAC